rnacentral:lncRNA from 1 species
CACACUUCUAGGGCAAAGCACAACUCUAUCUAUUACAUUACAUUGAUUUACAUCAUAACAUUUUACAUUUCAUUACAUAUCUUUACCUUACAUCAUGUCCACUACUAAUCUAUUACACGAAUCUGACCAUAGACAUAACCUGCAGAUCUUCUGACUAUCUCUGACCCUGCAAACCUAGGGUUAGGGGAGAGGGGUGAGCUAUAAAGCCCAGUGAGCGGAAACCACACUAGCAGAACAGUUCAUUUACAAGUAUGCCAUCAUGGAAUGCAUCACAUCACAAACAUAUCACAUCAAGGAUGAACUUUUCACCAUUAGCCCUCUACAUAUCAAAAUAUGUCCAACUAUACUAGGGGCGAUGAGGCCACACCUAGUAUUCGCUUACAUAACUCAUAUCAUAACAUGUCCAACUAUGCCAGGGGCGAUUAGGCCACACUUGGUCUUUCCUUACAUAUACAUGAUGUCAGGGGCGAUUAGGCCACACCUGGGCUUUCUAUAUCAUACCAUGUCAUCUCAUAUCAUAUUAUCUCAUCUCAUACUGAGGGCUAAGGAUCAUCCAAUAUCCAUCCACAUCAACAACAUAUUAUGCAAUGCAUCAUAUUCGUGGAUUCUAAUGCAAGACAACCUAAUACAUAUCAUGGCAUUUCAUGAUGCAUGGAUCAUGCUCUAAAAAUAUUUAAUUUCUUAAUUUAAAGCAUUAGGUUUAGUUCCACUCACCUCUGACCAGCUCUGGGCCGACUCUGAAACGGCUGACACUGCUAAACACCUCGGUUCCUCGGGUC